GGGAGCUCGGGCCAAUCAGAGGGACGGCCCCAGAAUGGCAUGGUGAUGGAACGCAGCUGAGAGGUCUGACAAGAUGUACCAGGUCCCACUGCCACUGGAUCGGGAUGGGACCCUGGUACGGCUCCGCUUCACCAUGGUGGCCCUGGUCACGGUCUGCUGUCCACUUGUCGCCUUCCUCUUCUGCAUCCUCUGGUCCCUGCUCUUCCACUUCAAGGAGACAACGGCCACACACUGUGGGCCGUCCAUGAAAAUGCUUUCAUUGUGUUCAUUGCCUCAUCCCUCGGGCACAUGCUCCUCACCUGCAUUCUCUGGCGGUUGACCAAGAAGCACACAGUAAGUCAGGAGGUACGGUCUAUCCCUAGCGGGGGCUCCAAGUCAGCCCAGAAGAAAAUCAAGGACAUCUGUCCUCAGGAUUCGGGUAAUGGUGAGGUGGGAACUGAGUUCUAAUGGGAACCCUGGCAGAGGGGUGCUGGGGUUGGGGCUGGGGCUUGGGAACAAACUGAGGGUGGUUGGUCAGAAUCUAGGACUAUAGCACUGUGUUUGGGUAGUGUGGGAGACUGGAGAAUAGAAAAGAUGGAGGCUGCAAAUGGGGAUAGAAUGAGGAGUCGCAUCUAGGCGGCAGUGAGGAACAGUGUCAGAGGACUGGUCUGUCAUAAUUCCAGCGUCCCACCCAUGUACAUGGGUUUCUUUUCCCCCACAGUAUUUGGAAGUGGGGUUGGUGGGUGACUCCAUGUAACUUUCAUACUCCAUCCCCCUGAAGUGGAAGGGGCAGGAAUACCACUGCUCCUCGGCCCAUCACUCCCCCAGAGGCAGGGUCGUGAACAUGU
rnacentral:sRNA from 1 species